UUAAGCGACUAAGCGUACACGGUGGAUGCCCUGGCAGUCAGAGGCGAUGAAGGACGUGCUAAUCUGCGAAAAGCGUCGGUAAGGUGAUAUGAACCGUUAUAGCCGGCGAUGUCCGAAUGGGGAAACCCAGUGCAAUUCGUUGCACUAUCGUUUGAUGAAUACAUAGUCAAACGAGGCGAACCGGGGGAACUGAAACAUCUAAGUACCCCGAGGAAAAGAAAUCAACCGAGAUUCCCCCAGUAGCGGCGAGCGAACGGGGAGCAGCCCGGAGUCUGAAUCAGCUUGUGUGUUAGUGGAAGCGUCUGGAAAGUCGCAGGGUACAGGGUGAUACUCCCGUACACUAAAACACACAGGUUGUGAACUCGAAGAGUAGGGCGGGACACGUGGUAUCCUGUCUGAAUAUGGGGGGACCAUCCUCCAAGGCUAAAUACUCCUGACUGACCGAUAGUGAACCAGUACCGUGAGGGAAAGGCGAAAAGAACCCCGGCGAGGGGAGUGAAAAAGAACCUGAAACCGUGUACGUACAAGCAGUAGGAGCCCACUUGUUGGGUGACUGCGUACCUUUUGUAUAAUGGGUCAGCGACUUAUAUUCUGUAGCAAGGUUAACCGUAUGGGGGAGCCGCAGGGAAACCGAGUCUUAACUGGGCGUUAAGUUGCAGGGUAUAGACCCGAAACCCGGUGAUCUAGCCAUGGGCAGGUUGAAGGUUGGGUAACACUAACUGGAGGACCGAACCGACUAAUGUUGAAAAAUUAGCGGAUGACUUGUGGCUGGGGGUGAAAGGCCAAUCAAACCGGGAGAUAGCUGGUUCUCCCCGAAAGCUAUUUAGGUAGCGCCUCGUGAACUCAUCUUCGGGGGUAGAGCACUGUUUCGGCUAGGGGGUCAUCCCGACUUACCAACCCGAUGCAAACUACGAAUACCGAAGAAUGUUAUCACGGGAGACACACGGCGGGUGCUAACGUCCGUCGUGAAGAGGGAAACAACCCAGACCGCCAGCUAAGGUCCCAAAGUCAUGGUUAAGUGGGAAACGAUGUGGGAAGGCCCAGACAGCCAGGAUGUUGGCUUAGAAGCAGCCAUCAUUUAAAGAAAGCGUAAUAGCUCACUGGUCGAGUCGGCCUGCGCGGAAGAUGUAACGGGGCUAAACCAUGCACCGAAGCUGCGGCAGCGACGCUUAUGCGUUGUUGGGUAGGGGAGCGUUCUGUAAGCCGUUGAAGGUGGCCUGUGAGGGUUGCUGGAGGUAUCAGAAGUGCGAAUGCUGACAUAAGUAACGAUAAUGCGGGUGAAAAACCCGCACGCCGGAAGACCAAGGGUUCCUGUCCAACGUUAAUCGGGGCAGGGUGAGUCGACCCCUAAGGCGAGGCCGAAAGGCGUAGUCGAUGGGAAACAGGUUAAUAUUCCUGUACUCGGUGUUACUGCGAAGGGGGGACGGAGAAGGCUAUGUUGGCCGGGCGACGGUUGUCCCGGUUUAAGCAUGUAGGCGGAUGUUCCAGGUAAAUCCGGAACGUUAUUAACGCUGAGGUGUGAUGACGAGGCACUACGGUGCUGAAGUGACAAAUGCCCUGCUUCCAGGAAAAGCCUCUAAGCAUCAGGUAACAUCAAAUCGUACCCCAAACCGACACAGGUGGUCAGGUAGAGAAUACCAAGGCGCUUGAGAGAACUCGGGUGAAGGAACUAGGCAAAAUGGUGCCGUAACUUCGGGAGAAGGCACGCUGAUGGUAGGUGAAGUGACUUGCUCAUGGAGCUGAAAUCAGUCGAAGAUACCAGCUGGCUGCAACUGUUUAUUAAAAACACAGCACUGUGCAAACACGAAAGUGGACGUAUACGGUGUGACGCCUGCCCGGUGCCGGAAGGUUAAUUGAUGGGGUUAUCCGUAAGGAGAAGCUCUUGAUCGAAGCCCCGGUAAACGGCGGCCGUAACUAUAACGGUCCUAAGGUAGCGAAAUUCCUUGUCGGGUAAGUUCCGACCUGCACGAAUGGCGUAAUGAUGGCCAGGCUGUCUCCACCCGAGACUCAGUGAAAUUGAACUCGCUGUGAAGAUGCAGUGUACCCGCGGCAAGACGGAAAGACCCCGUGAACCUUUACUAUAGCUUGACACUGAACACUGGUCCUUGAUGUGUAGGAUAGGUGGGAGGCUUUGAAGUGUGGACGCCAGUCUGCAUGGAGCCAUCCUUGAAAUACCACCCUUUAAUGGCUGGUGUUCUAACGUGGGCCCGUAAUCGGGGUUGCGGACAGUGUCUGGUGGGUAGUUUGACUGGGGCGGUCUCCUCCUAAAGAGUAACGGAGGAGCACGAAGGUCAGCUAAUCCUGGUCGGACAUCAGGAGGUUAGUGCAAUGGCAUAAGCUGGCUUGACUGCGAGCGUGACGGCGCGAGCAGGUGCGAAAGCAGGUCAUAGUGAUCCGGUGGUUCUGAAUGGAAGGGCCAUCGCUCAACGGAUAAAAGGUACUCCGGGGAUAACAGGCUGAUACCGCCCAAGAGUUCAUAUCGACGGCGGUGUUUGGCACCUCGAUGUCGGCUCAUCACAUCCUGGGGCUGAAGUAGGUCCCAAGGGUAUGGCUGUUCGCCAUUUAAAGUGGUACGCGAGCUGGGUUUAGAACGUCGUGAGACAGUUCGGUCCCUAUCUGCCGUGGGCGCUGGAGAAUUGAGGGGGGCUGCUCCUAGUACGAGAGGACCGGAGUGGACGCAUCACUGGUGUUCGGGUUGUCAUGCCAAUGGCAUUGCCCGGUAGCUAAAUGCGGAAGAGAUAAGUGCUGAAAGCAUCUAAGCACGAAACUUGCCCCGAGAUGAGUUCUCCCUGACUCCUUGAGAGUCCUGAAGGAACGUUGAAGACGACGACGUUGAUAGGCCGGGUGUGUAAGCGCAGCGAUGCGUUGAGCUAACCGGUACUAAUGAACCGUGAGGCUUAACCUU
rnacentral:rRNA from 1 species